rnacentral:tRNA from 1 species
GGGGUUGUGGCCCAGUGGUAGAGCACUUGGCUAGUAUACAAGAGGUCCUGGGUUCGAUCCUCAGCACCA